UACGAGGGAUCCUAGCGUUGCUCGGAAUUAUUGGGCGUAAAGCGGGUGUAGGUGGCUUGGUAAGUCAGAUGUGAAAGCCCUGGGCUUAACCCAGGAAGUGCAUUUGAUACUGCUGAGCUUGAGUGCGAGAGAGGUUAAUAGAAUACCUGGUGUAGUGGUGAAAUACGUAGAUAUCAGGUGGAACACCGGAGGCGAAGGCGGUUAACUGGCUCGACACUGACACUGAGACCCGAAAGUGCGGGGAUCAAACAGG
rnacentral:rRNA from 1 species